GACGAACGCUGGCGGCGUGCUUAACACAUGCAAGUCGAACGGAAAGGCCCUGCUUGCAGGGUGCUCGAGUGGUGAUCGGGUGAGUAACAGGUGGGUGAUCUGCCCCUGACCUUCGGAUAAGCCUGGGAAACUGGGUCUAAUACUGGUCAGGACCACGCUGUAAGUGCUGUGUUGGGGAGAUUAGUUUCGGUGAGUGUUGAGGUCGCGGCCUAUAAGCGUGGUGGUGGGGUAAUGGUCUACCAGGGCGUGGACGGGUAGCCGGCCUGAGAGGGAGGACGGCCGGAUUGGGACUGAGAGACGGGCCGGAGUCCGACGGGAGGCAGCAGGGAGGAAUAUUGGACAAGGGGCGCAAGCCUGAUGCAGGGAGGCCGUGGGGGGGAUGAGGGCCGUCGGGUUGGAAACUCGGUUCAGCCACGACGAAGGACGUGUGGUGACGGUAGUGGUAGAAGAAGCACCGGCUAACUACGUG
rnacentral:rRNA from 1 species